UGUCUUCCAGGGAGGAAGAGCGUCAUAACUUACUAGAGAAGAGGGCAGGGGAGGUGAACCUUGGGAAACACACGGCCUUCCUUUUCCAAAACCAGCGACUUGCAAUGUCAGCAAAACCCCACUUGUCCUGGUAAAUUCACUGUACUUCUGGUGGCGUUACAAAUACAGCGCAAGCAGCCAAAAAACCUUCACAAAGUUUCAUGCUUUCUCCCAAAACAGGCACACUUCCCCAUCUCUUCCAUCCCCCCUCCUGAAUUGAGGAGGAAGAGAUCUCUAUCCUUCCUGCCAUCUUUCUUAGCAAUAAGACAACGUGCACCGUUAAAGAAAGGAGGAGAGUGUGAGACGCAAAAGGUGUUUGAUUGUGCUCUCUAUCUCUCUCUCGCUCUCUGUCUUGCUGUCUUGCUUGGAAAUCCUCUCAUUACUCUUCCCACCAACACUUCCACCGCCACCGUCAGAAGCCACGGCAUCGCAGUUGGGUUAAUGGGGACGACGUUGCUUGGUACGAAUUUCAAGGCAGCUGAUCAGUUCUCCAGUAGCCGGCAGACAGACAAGCUGUUCAUGCAUGUAGAGAAGAGAGCUUAAAUGAGUUUUUGUCAGAUAGGUUCUGUAGAUUGGUUGAAUCUGGUACACACAUCUCUAGCAAUCAAAGCACCAGCUAUCCACAUUUAGAUCCAAGAGGCGUUAGAGGUUUUUGGGAUGUUUGAUUUGUGAGUUAUCUUCAAGGACCUGCAGGACGUUGGUGACUUCACAAGUGACAAGCUUGGCUGAUUCACAGAGUUGUUGCUCAUUGGUAGACUCAGC